rnacentral:rRNA from 1 species
UGGGGAAUUUUGGACAAUGGGGGCAACCCUGAUCCAGCAAUGCCGCGUGUGUGAAGAAGGCCUUCGGGUUGUAAAGCACUUUUGUCCGGGAAGAAAUCGCACCUGAUAAUACCGGGUGUGGAUGACGGUACCGGAAGAAUAAGGACCGGCUAACUACGUGCCAGCAGCCGCGGUAAUACGUAGGGUCCAAGCGUUACUCGGAAUUACUGGGCGUAAAGCGUGCGCAGGCGGUUGUGCAAGACCGAUGUGAAAUCCCCGGGCUUAACCUGGGAAUUGCAUUGGUGACUGCACGGCUAGAGUGUGUCAGAGGGGGGUAGAAUUCCACGUGUAGCAGUGAAAUGCGUAGAGAUGUGGAGGAAUACCGAUGGCGAAGGCAGCCCCCUGGGAUAACACUGACGCUCAUGCACGAAAGCGUGGGGAGCAAACAGG